ensembl:snoRNA small nucleolar RNA, C/D box 101
GUUUGGGUGAUGACUUAACAACUUGUCGGAUACCCCUUCACUCGUCUGAUGAGUGAGACCAGCAGUCUGACAAAC